AAGAAGUUUGCCAUGGUUUACACUAGGGCUGCAACAACGAAUCGAUAAAAUCGAUAAUCGAUUAUUAAAAGCGUUGGCAACAAAUUUCAUUAUCGAUUCGUUGUGUCGCGCGAUUCAUGCGUCACUCGCCAUGUCACGGAGCCGUCUACUCCACCUGCAGAGCUUUGUCAAUGCUGGCUGACGGAAAUAAAGUUUUUUUUUUUUUUUUAUAAAUAACUCCACCUGUAGAGCGAGUUGAACAGAACGAGGUGGCGGCAAAGCGAAAGUAAAUUCAGAGUAAUUUCAACCAAACAUGACCGAAACGGAGAAAAAUCAGACCGAAAUCCUCAAAAGUGUGGCAGCAUUUCACGAUUCAAAUAACAAAAAACAUGCGUAACAUGCAAGCGUUACAAAAGUGAUAUGAUGUAAGGGAGCACCACGAUGAUGAUGCAGCACCUGAAACGGAAACACGUUGGAGUCGCCGAUGAGGAUGAAGGAGCUCAACAGCAGCAAACAAUGACAGGCUUCAUGAUGAGAAAGACCUCAUGUCCACCACAGCAAGCAGUUGUCCUGACUGAUCAUCACUGACAUGAGGCCUCUGUUGAUGGUUGAAGACGAAGGCUUCGCUACAAUGAUCUUAUUUGCUCUGUCAGUCCAAAUCUUCUCUUUCUGAAUAAAGCGGCAGAAAUUAAAAA